rnacentral:rRNA from 1 species
GUGCGAGCGUUGUCCGGAAUUACUGGGCGUAAAGAGCUCGUAGGUGGUUUGUCGCGUCGUCUGUGAAAUUCCGGGGCUUAACUCCGGGCGUGCAGGCGAUACGGGCAUAACUUGAGUACUGUAGGGGAGACUGGAAUUCCUGGUGUAGCGGUGAAAUGCGCAGAUAUCAGGAGGAACACCGGUGGCGAAGGCGGGUCUCUGGGCAGUAACUGACGCUGAGGAGCGAAAGCAUGGGUAGCGAACAGGAUUAGAUACCCUGGUAGUCCAUGCCGUAAACGGUGGGCGCUAGGUGUAGGGGUCUUCCACGACUUCUGUGCCGUAGCUAACGCAUUAAGCGCCCCGCCUGGGGAGUACGGCCGCAAGGCUAAAACUCAAAGGAAUUGACGGGGGCCCGCACAAGCGGCGGAGCAUGUGGAUUAAUUCGAUGCAACGCGAAGAACCUUACCUGGGCUUGACAUAUACGGGACCGGGCCAGAGAUGGUCCUUCCCUUGUGGCUCGUAUACAGGUGGUGCAUGGUUGUCGUCAGCUCGUGUCGUGAGAUGUUGGGUUAAGUCCCGCAACGAGCGCAACCCUUGUCUUAUGUUGCCAGCACGUAAUGGUGGGGACUCGUGAGAAACUGCCGGGGUCAACUCGGAGGAAGGUGGGGAUGACGUCAAAUCAUCAUGCCCCUUAUGUCCAGGGCUUCACACAUGCUACAAUGGUCGGUACAGUGGGUUGCGAUGCCGUGAGGUGGAGCUAAUCCCUGAAAGCCGGUCUCAGUUCGGAUCGGGGUCUGCAACUCGACCCCGUGAAGUCGGAGUCGCUAGUAAUCGCAGAUCAGCAACGCUGCGGUGAAUACGUUCCCGGGCCUUGUACACACCGCCCGUCACGUCAUGAAAGUCGGUAACACCCGAAGCCAGUGGCCCAACCCUUGU